AGAUACCCCUGGGUAGUCCACGNNGUAAACGAUGGNUGNUGGNUGCUGGGAUGUAUGUCUCGGUGNNGUAGCUANNGCGAUAAGCANCCGCCUGGGGAGUACGGUCGCAAGGCUGAAACUCAAAGAAAUUGACGGGGGCCCGCACAAGCGGUGGAGUAUGUGGUUUAAUUCGAUGCAACGCGAAGAACCUUACCCAGGCUUGANANNUAGGGAACCCUUCGGAAAUGAAGGGGUGCCCUUNGGGGAGCCCUAAGACAGGUGCUGCAUGGCUGUNGUCAGCUCGUGCCGUGAGGUGUUGGGUUAAGUCCCGCAACGAGCGCAACCCCUAUCUUCAGUUGCCAGCAGGUAAGGCUGGGCACUCUGGAGAGACCGCCCCGGUCAACGGGGAGGAAGGUGGGGACGACGUCAAGUCAUCAUGGCCCUUACGCCUGGGGCUACACACGUACUACAAUGGCGCGCACAAAGGGUAGCGAGACCGCGAGGUGGAGCCAAUCCCAAAAAACGCGUCCCAGUCCGGAUUGGAGUCUGCAACUCGACUCCAUGAAGUCGGAAUCGCUAGUAAUUCGAGAUCAGCAUGCUCGGGUGAAUGCGUUCCCGGGCCUUGUACACACCGCCCGUCACACCACGAAAGUCGGUUUUACCCGAAGCCGGUGAGCUAACUCGCAAGAGAAGCAGCCGUCUACGGUAGGGCCGAUGAUUGGGGUG
rnacentral:rRNA from 1 species